GCGUUUCAGUGCCCAUCACCACAUUACCCAGGCGCCACCAGAAGAUUAAGAAGCUUUGCAGUGACAUUCUCAACAAGAUAUUUACCUGGAUUUUGCCACUGGUCCCGUGGCCACAGCUGAAGGGAAAUUCCCCUCUCUGGUGUCACCCAGCCAGGAAUCUGUGGAUCAGAAGAUCAGGAAGGCACUGA